rfam:Eimeria acervulina, Houghton, WGS project CBTS01000000 data, contig: Eah_contig20_1
CCUUAGGCUUCCCUAGAAGCCACCAACCCUCCGUGUCGUUCAUUAU